rnacentral:rRNA from 1 species
GGGUCCGCACAAGCGGUGGAGCAUGUGGUUUAAUUCGAUGAUACGCGAGGAACCUUACCUGGGCUCGAACACUAUUAGACGAUACCUGAAAGGGUAUUUCUCUUCGGAGCUGGUAGUGAGGUGCUGCAUGGUUGUCGUCAGCUCGUGCCGUGAGUGUUGGGUUAAGUCCCGCAACGAGCGCAACCCCCUAUCUUCAGUUGCCAACAGUUAGGCUGGGGACUCUGGAGAGACUGCCUCCGUAAGGAGUGAGGAAGGAAGGGACGACGUCAAAUCAUCAUGGCCUUAUGCCAGGGCUACACACGUGCUACAAUGGUAGGUACAGAGGGAAGCUACCCCGUAAGGGGAUGCGA